GCCUGAAGGGGAACAGCCCGGCAGCCAUCCCGGUGCUUCUCUGCUGAGCCCCAGGCCCCGGGGCUCAGGGACGAUCGGCCCCUCGGCCGUCUGAAGGGUGGCGCGCUUUUUUUUAAGCACCCGCUUCCUGUCUUGGCUCCACGUGGCUCCGUGGGGCACAGUUCCAAGGAAGGCGCUCUCGUGCAGCCCUGGAGCGGUCUGUGAUUCCCGUCGCCAUUGAUCCGACCUGGAGGACCCACGCGGGCAGCCGCGUAAUUGAAACCACGACACCCGGCUGCGCCGCUGCUCCGGGGCGGGGCUCGCUCCGGUCGCCUCGCUCCCCUCUCCCGACUCUGCCGCCGCUCCUCGUCCGGGCGCAGGCCCCUAAGCCGGCAGAGUCUUCGGCGUGGACCGACUCACCGAGUGCAGCCUGGGCAAACCUGGCUCCUUCACCACCCACUGCAACCCAGAGACGGCGUGCCUGCCAUGUGCCCAGUGCCGGGAGGGGUUCCUCGUUUUUCUGAGGAGAAGGCCAUCGGUGUUUUGACAAGGACAGCCUGAGUCUGCGCUUGGCUUUGGACAGCGAGGACGGGGUGACAGAGUUGCUCCUGCCAACCCUGAGCUCAGUGUGUCCUCCAUCGUGUGUCCCCUCUUCGUCUCCUUUCUCGGUUCCUCCAGCCGUCAGGGCGCAGGCUGUCCGCUCUCUGGCUGACCUUGUUCCCGGGUGGUUUCUGCUUUCGGACGCAACCGCAGGAGGGGCUGAUGACACCUCCCUCUGGUUACCCGUCACUGCUGCAUGGAAGUGCACCCGUGUCCACGUUGUGUCCUGUGACCUCACUGCCUUCAUUUCCACCUUCUAACGGGAGUUUGUGGGUCCUCAAACGGUCCUACGUACCGCGUCCUGCCGUCUGCAAGCAGUGCGAAGGCUCCUCCUCCCUCGGAUGUGCUUGCUGUUUGUCUCUGUCUCGCGUGACCGCUGUUGCUCGGACU